UAGCAGAGCCAUAGAGUUAGGGCCACUGC
rnacentral:piRNA from 1 species